rnacentral:rRNA from 1 species
UACGGGGGGGGCAAGCGUUGUUCGGAAUUACUGGGCGUAAAGGGCUCGUAGGUGGCCAACUAAGUCAGACGUGAAAUCUCUCAGCUUAACUGGGGAACUGCGUCUGAUACUGGAUGGCUUGAGUUUGGGAGAGGGAUGCGGAAUUCCAGGUGUAGCGGUGAAAUGCGUAGAUAUCUGGAGGAACACCGGUGGCGAAGGCGGCAUCCUGGACCAACACUGACACUGAGGAGCGAAAGCCAGGGGAGCAAACGGG